rnacentral:rRNA from 1 species
GAUGAACGCUAGCGGCAGGCCUAACACAUGCAAGUCGAGGGGCAUCAUGGCGUAGCAAUACGCUGAUGGCGACCGGCGCACGGGUGCGUAACGCGUAUGGAACCUACCCACCGCAGGGGGAUAACCCGCCGAAAGGCGGACUAAUACCCCAUGGUUCCCCGACCCUGCCUGGGGUUGGGGGUAAAGCCUACGGGCGGCGGUGGAUGGCCCUGCGUGCCAUUAGCUGGCUGGUGGGGUAACGGCCCACCAGGGCGACGAUGGCUAGGGGGUCUGAGAGGACGAUCCCCCACACUGGUACUGAGACACGGACCAGACUCCUACGGGAGGCAGCAGUGGGGAAUAUUGCACAAUGGGGGAAACCCUGAUGCAGCGACGCCGCGUGAGUGAAGAAGGUCUUCGGAUCGUAAAACUCUGUCCUUGGUGACGAAGGAAGUGACGGUAACCAAGGAGGAAGCCCCGGCUAACUACGUG